GAGUUUGAUCUUGGCUCAGGAUGAACGCCGGCGGUGUGCCUAAUACAUGCAAGUCGUACGCACUGGCCCAACUGAUUGAUGAUGCUUGCACCUGAUUGACGAUGGAUCACCAGUGAGUGGCGGACGGGUGAGUAACACGUAGGUAACCUGCCCCGGAGCGGGGGAUAACAUUUGGAAACAGAUGCUAAUACCGCAUAACAACAAAAGCCACAUGGUCUUUUAGUUUAAAAAGAUGGUCUUUGGCUAUCACUCUGGGAUGGACCUGCGGUGC
rnacentral:rRNA from 1 species